GAUGAACGCUAGCGGCAGGCUUAAUACAUGCAAGUCGUGGGGCAGCAGGUUUGUAGCAAUACAGAUGCUGGCGACCGGCAAACGGGGUGCGGAACACGUACAGAACCUUCCUUUGAGCGGGGAAUAGCCCAGAGAAAUUUGGAUUAAUACCCCAUAGUAUAAUGAAGUGGCAUCACUUUAUUAUUAAAGAUUUAUCACUCGAAGAUGGCUGUGCGGCUGAUUAGGUAGUUGGCGGGGUAAAGGCCCACCAAGCCUGCGAUCAGUAACUGGUGUGAGAGCACGACCAGUCACACGGGCACUGAGACACGGGCCCGACUCCUACGGGAGGCAGCAGUAAGGAAUAUUGGUCAAUGGAGGCAACUCUGAACCAGCCAUGCCGCGUGGAGGAUGAAGGUCCUCUGGAUUGUAAACUUCUUUUAUAUGGGACGAAAAAAGGCUUUUCUAAGUCGUCUGACGGUACCAUAUGAAUAAGCACCGGCUAACUCCGUGCCAG
rnacentral:rRNA from 1 species